AGAGUUUGAUCCUGGCUCAGGACGAACGCUGGCGGCGUGCUUAACACAUGCAAGUCGAACGCUGAUCCAUCUUCGGGUGGUGAUGAGUGGCGAACGGGUGAGUAACACGUGGGCAACCUGCCCCCGGCUCUGGGAUAACUCCAAGAAAUUGGGGCUAAUACCGGAUGUUCACCGCUUUCCGCAUGGAGGGUGGUGGAAAGGGUUUCCGGCUGGGGAUGGGCCCGCGGCCUAUCAGCUUGUUGGUGGGGUAGUGGCCUACCAAGGCGACGACGGGUAGCCGGCCUGAGAGGGUGACCGGCCACACUGGGACUGAGACACGGCCCAGACUCCUACGGGAGGCAGCAGUGGGGAAUAUUGCGCAAUGGGCGGAAGCCUGACGCAGCGACCCGCGUGGGGGAUGACGGCCUUCGGGUUGUAAACCUCUUUCAGCAGGGACGAAGCGCAAGUGACGGUACCUGCAGAAGAAGCACCGGCCAACUACGUGCCAGCAGCCGCGGUAAUACGUAGGGUGCAAGCGUUGUCCGGAAUUAUUGGGCGUAAAGAGCUCGUAGGCGGUUCGUCGCGUCGGCUGUGAAAACCUGAGGCUCAACCUCAGGCCUGCAGUCGAUACGGGCGGACUUGAGUUCGGCAGGGGAGACUGGAAUUCCUGGUGUAGCGGUGAAAUGCGCGAUAUCAGGAGGAACACCGGUGGCGAAGGCGGGUCUCUGGGCCGAUACUGACGCUGAGGAGCGAAAGCGUGGGGAGCGAACAGGAUUAGAUACCCUAGUAGUCC
rnacentral:rRNA from 1 species